UGAAAACAGAGCACAAUACAUUCAUUCUGAAACAGAAAGGCAGUCAUGACUAUGCUGUGAACACCCAGAGAACGAUAUAUUGAUGCUGACGCAGAAAAGCAGUAAUGAUUAUGCUGUGAACACCCAGAGCAAGAUAUAUCCAUGCUGACACAGAAAGGCAUUAAUGACUAUGCAGUGAACACCCAGAGCAAGAUAUAUCCAUGCUGACACAGAAAGGCAGUAAUGACUAUGCUGUGAACAACCAGACCACAAAACAUCCAUGCUGACACAGAAAGGCAGUAAUGACUUGGUUGUGAACACCCAGAGCAAGAUAUAUCCAUGCUGACACAGAAAGGCAGUAAUGAUUGGCUGUGAACACAGAACACGAUACACCCAUGCUGAAACAGAAAGGCAGUGAUGACUUGGCUGUGAACACAGAACACGAUACACCCAUGCUGACACAGAAAGGCAGUAAUGACUUGGCUGUGAACACAGAACACAAUACAUCCAUGCUGACACAGAAAGGCAGUAAUGACUUGGCUGUGAACACAGACCACAAUACAUCCAUGCUGACAAAGAAAGGCAGUUAUGACUUGGUUGUGAACACAGAGCACAAUACAUCCUUGUUGACACAGAAAGGUAGUUAUGACUUUGCUGUGAACUCAGAGCACGAUACAUCCAUGCUGACACAGAAAGGCAGUUAUGACUUGGAUGUAAAUACCCAGAGCACAAUACAUCCAUGCUGACACAGAAAGGCAGUAAAGACUUUGUUGUAAACACUAAGAGAUCCAUAUAUCCAUGGGGUGUGCCACAGACGCAAAUUACGCCCACUAUUGUGAACAAGGUGCUUAAAGUGAACAUGUUUGGUUUUGUUAUGAGCACUUAGCACUCCGAGCCCAAAAGGCCUCGCAUUGAAUUGAUGCAAGAAAAGGCUUUGAAAAAUAACAGCAGUUUUGUUGUGUGGUCCAGUACGCCCUUUGACUUGCAACCUGAAUAAAGCAGAACUAGAACUCGGCUCUUAGCAAUAUCAGCAAGAUCAGCAUGUCAUCUUAGCUUCUUGAGCACAGUGAACUUUACUAGCAAACAUGACAAACGUCAUUGAAAUGAAAGUCGAUGACAACCCCCUUCUUGCACAAAUACUACAACUUGCUUAAGAAAAUCAGCAUGAAAACGUCUUGCGUCAGACUACCAAGCCUCCUAUCAAUAUAUCCUCCCAAUUUGCUGGCUACAUCAACACUUCCAACAGCAGAGCCUUGGUGAGUUUGACUUCCGUCUCAGCACCCAUGUCGCUUAGCAACAAUUGAAUGAUGGGCGUCGACAAAUUAGGCCGGACAAGUCGCUCAAACUGAAACGAUCUGAUCCAACAGGUAGAGCAAGCGUUGCGUGACACGUCCGUUAAUGUGACUGACCAUAAUAUGUUGUUCUCGAAUAAUGUGAACCUUAGGCCUGGAGAGCAGUAUGCGAUUGACUCCAUUCAACAACAGUUGUUAUUGGCAAUUCUCAGGUUUCGGGUGGCGACUUCAGCGUCAGGACUUGCUCCAUCUCUGUCUAUGGCCCAGUCCCAGCAGCAGCAGCAGCAGCAGCAGCAAUAAGAACAAUAACUGAAUAAAAGGCUCUCUGGUCAGCUGGACCCAGACGCCAAGGGACACUUCCUGCCCAAGUACCGUGAGGCAAAUGCUCAAUGAGUUCUACCCGAAGUGUGCAGCGUCUCUAGACCUGUGGCUCCAGACUGUCUUACCCAGGGGCCAAGAUUACUUUAUCUGCAAGAGGCCUCAUACUCACAGGUUCCCCAACUACAACUCAGCCACAACAUCCUAAUCUGAAAGUCCUGUUGCCAUGGCAAAACGGGACAACUUGUCAAUCAACAUGGAACAGUACCCUGAAAAUCACGACCAUCUAAAGAACUGUGCAACUGUGCCAAGCGUGACCCUUUAGAGAAAGGGGCUUCCAUUCCGAAGGUCAAAUUGUGGCCGUUGUUCAGUGUCAAGCGGAAUCCUAGCAACCAAGCCACGUCAGCACAGCAGCAAAAACAGUUUCAGCAGCAGUCGUAUACUAAACAUCAACAACAGUGGUGCAUAUGCAUUAAACUACGAGAGGUAUGAAUGCAAAUAUGUCUUAAACAAGUUGACUGCGUAAUGUGGCAUCAAAGUCUGCAAGGAGAAACCAUGCAAUUGAGGAAGCCAAGAAACCAUGUGAUAAUUUCAAGCAGCUUACCUACUCUUGAAACCCGGAUAGCAAAGCAUUGAGAUUGUUCUGGAAGCAUUUGUAGUCACAGCUCAUUAAGCAUCCCCCUGAAGCAGGACCCUCAGUCUACGGACGCCAAUUGACGAAAUAAAACUUGUCAUUCAGCAACACAGCCAGUUGCAGCAGUUGUUACCAUAUUGACCCCAGUCAAAACUAGGAGCUCAGAGAUAACACAGCCAGUUGCAGCAGUUGUUACCGUAUGGACCCCAGUCAAAACAAGGAGCUCAGAGAUAAAUACUGUUUAAGAUAGAUAUUCUCUACAUUCCUCAUGGUCAGCCAACACAGCCAGUUGCAGCAGUUGUUACCAUAUUGACCCCAGUCAAAACUAGGAGCACAGAGACAAUCAGCAACCCAGCCAGUUGCAGCAGUUGUUACCAAAUUGACCCCAGUCAAAACUAGGAGCUCAGAGACAAUCAGCAACACAGCCAGUUGCAGCAGUUGUUACCAUAGUGACCCCAGUCAAAACUAGGAGCUCAGAGACAAUCAGCAACACAGCCAGUUGCAGCAGUUGUUACCAAAUUGACCCCAGUCAAAACAAGGAGCUCAGAGACAAUCAGCAACACAGCCAGUUGCAGCAGUUGUUACAGUAUGACCCCAGUCAAAACUAGGAGCUCAGAGAUAAAUACUGUUUAAGAUAGAUAUUCUCUACAUUCCUCAUGGUCAGGCAACACAGCCAGUUGCAGCAGUUGUUACCGUAUUGACCCCAGUCAAAACUAGGAGCACAGAGACAAUCAGCAACACAGCCAGUUGCAGCAGUUGUUACCAAAUUGACCCCAGUCAAAACUAAGAGCUCAGAAACAAUCAGCAACACAGCCAGUUGCAGCAGUUGUUACCAUAGUGACCCCAGUCAAAACUAGGAGCUCAGAGACAAUCAGCAACACAGCCAGUUGCAGCAGUUGUUACCAUAGUGACGCCAGUCAAAACUAGGAGCUCAGAGACAAUCAGCAACACAGCCAGUUGCAGCAGUUGUUACCGUAUGACCCCAGUCAAAACUAGGAGCUCAGAGACAAUCAGCAAUACAGCCAGUUGCAGCAGUUGUUACCAUAUUGACCCCAGUCAAAACUAGGAGCUCAGAGACAAUCAGCAACACAGCCAGUUGCAGCAGUUGUUACCAUAUUGACCCCAGUCAAAAGUAGGAGCUCAGAGACAAUCAGCAACACAGCGAGUUGCAGCAGUUGUUACCGUAUGACCCCAGUCAAAACUAAGAGCUCAGAGACAAU